GCAGUUGCUUAACCUCAGUGUUGUUACGGUUGAAUAGUGUGUUUAUAAUUGUAAAAGAAAAAAAAAAGACUGGUCCGUGAAUAUGUUAUGUAACGCAGAAAGUUGUGGGCACAUAUGAGAGGGAACCAUCGGGGAAGUUGGGCACUACGACCAAUGAACGACGACCACAAACCAAACAAACUCCAGCAGGUGUAGGAGACGGUCAGUGAGCAAGGACGCUGUUAAGUAAUUGAAACAAGAUGGGAUCUGGUGAAGGGACUGGCGAGGGUAACGGGGCUGGUAGUGGAGGGUCGACGGAAGGUGGCUCCGGGGGCAUUCUGUGGCAGAUCAUAUGGUUGGUGCUAUUGAUCUUGGCUGCCAUAUGGGUAGCUGGCUUCUGCGCCUGGUGGUACAUCAUGCUCGUUCCGUUCACCGUGUGUAUUCCUCCACUAGCAAUACAUGUACUCUUGGACACAAGAACUUGGGUGCUUGCAACUGUGACGGACAUCCUGCUUCGAGGUGCCCAGUUGACCUACUUCUGUGCCAAAAACAUGAUGGAUGCUAACACUUUUGGUGAAGCCUGGGCCAAUGCUGCCUCUACUAUCCCACCAACUGUUCUUGUCA